rnacentral:rRNA from 1 species
AUUGAACGCUGGCGGCAGGCCUAACACAUGCAAGUCGAACGAGGGGCGGACGGGUGAGUUAUGUCUGGGAAACUGCCUGAGGGAGGGGGAUAACUACUGGAAACGGUAGCUAAUACCGCAUACCAUCGGAUGUUCCCAGAUGGGAUUAGCUCGUGGGGGGGGUAACGGCGCACCUAGGCCACGAUCCCUAGCUGGUCUGAGAGGAUGACCAGCCACACUGGAACUGAGACACGGUCCAGACUCCUACGGGAGGCAGCAGUGGGGAAUAUUGCACAAUGGGCGCAAGCCUGAUGCAGCCAUGGCGCGUGUAUGAAGAAGGCCUUCGGGUUGUAAAGUACUUUCAGCGGGGAGGCGUUACCAACAGAAGAAGCACCGGCUAACUCCGUGCCAGCAGCCGCGGUAAUUC